rnacentral:rRNA from 1 species
AUGGCCCUCAUCCGCUCCCUACUUGUCCUCCUGCUGCUACUCUGCUCGGCCGAUGCCUCCGGCACAUUGGCGCCGGCGCACGCGCCGGCCACGGGGCUAGAGGCGGAGAAGUUUUGCUUCGGCAUCGGUACCAACGAUCAAACAUUGACCUGCCUGGCGAACGCGGCAGCGGCGUGCCUGGCCACGAGUGCCGUCGUCGAGGAGUCUACUUUCCUGGCGUGCUUCGUGGCCGACGCCGGCUUUGAUUCGCAGUGCCUGGCCGCCGGACCGCCGCAACAUGGGAAGCAGGAGGAGCACUGCAUCGGCAUUGGUAUCAGCAACGACCGGAUGACAUGUCUUGGGCUGGUCGGCUGGUCGUGCCGCGGCAGCAGAUUCGGCAUUCUGGGGUUUGUGCCGUGCUACCUCGGGAGCAGCAUGAAGUGCAUAGUGUAA